UAAGCAUACCCAUGUACCUUUCAAGAGGUCGGGAGAUCCUGCUAGAUCUACGAGGUGGCAAGGGAACAUCAACUAUUGGCUCAUAGACUACAGAUUCCUGAGGAUCUAUAGCUCUAGACUCUUCAGAGACCUUCUUUUUGAGUUUCACUAACCUCCCACUACCGCCAUCUUGGAUAAACUAUUUUUUCAGGAACACGGCAUUUCGACUCACAAUCACAUUGUUGUCUUGUAGAAUGUAGAAGUAGUAUCCCAUGAAUUCUUUUGGGUACUCUAUAAAGCGAGCUAUAAUAGAUCUAUCCUCCAACUUUUCUGCCAUCUGUCUCCUGAUAUAGGUCGGACAUUCCCAAGUCUUAAGAUAAUUCAGACUCGACUUCUUACCGAACCAUAUCUCAUACGAUGUGG
rnacentral:lncRNA from 1 species